AACGAACGCUGGCGGCGUGCCUAAUACAUGCAAGUUGAGCGCUGAAGGUUGGUACUUGUACCCACUGGAUGAGCAGCGAACGGGUGAGUAACGCGUAGGGAAUCUGCCUUUGAGCGGGGGACAACAUUUUGAAACGAAUGCUAAUACCGCAUAAAACCUUUAAACACAAGAUUUAGGUUUGAAAGAUACAAUUGCCUCACUAAAAGAUGAUCCCGCGUUGUAUUAGCUGGUUGGUGAGGGAAAGGCUCACCAAGGCGAUGAUACAUAGCCGACCUGAGAGGGUGAUCGGCCACAAUGGGACUGAGGAACGGCCCAAACUCCUACGGGAGGCAGCAGGAGGGGAUCUUCGGCCAUGGACGAAAGGCUGACCGAGCAACGCCGCGGGAGUGAAGAAGGUUUUCGGAUCGUAAAACUCUGUUGGUAGAGAAGAACGUGGGUGAGAGUGGAAAGCUCAUCAAGUGACGGUAACUACCGAGAAAGGGACGGCUAACUACGUG
rnacentral:rRNA from 1 species